AGCAAUAGUGGCUUAUACGUGGGCGGUCGGCUAAUCCCCUGGAAAGGGGGUGAUGCCAAUGGAAACGUUUCAAGCUCUUCAAUUAAUGUUCCUAUUUGGGAUGUUUAUUCUGGCGCUUCUGACGUUUAUCCAAAAGAUGAAAUAGAUCGCCCACCGAGGAAAGGUUAAGUGCGAUCUAUUUGUCGUAAUUCCUUCUAAGCCAACCGCAAACAUAUAGCGCGGCUAUUGCUGACCGUGGACGUUACAGCGUCUGCG
rnacentral:sRNA from 1 species